GACGGGGGAUGCAAGUGUUAUCCGGAAUAAUUGGGCGUAAAGCGUCUGUAGGUGGUUUACCAAGUCUGUUGUUAAAAAUCAGGGCUUAACCCUGAUCCGGCAACAGAAACUAGUAGGCUGGAGUACGGUAGGGGCAGAGGGAAUUCUCGGUGUAGUGGUGAAAUACGUAGAUAUCGAGAAGAACACCAAUAGCGAAAGCACUCUGCUGGGCCGAAACUGACAUUGAGAGACGAAAAGCUAGGGGAGCGAAAGGG
rnacentral:rRNA from 1 species